UUCGACGUGGUAAAGAAGCGACGACGUGCGAGGAAUUCUGUUCUAGGGUUUCGGUAGGAUUCGGGCGGGGUCGCAGAUGAACGCCGGAGCUACUCCGGCAUCAGUCGAGGGUUCGCGAGCCGCGCUUACAGGGUAGCUGAGGAGCAGGAGAAGCGGCCGUCGGAGAUGCAGACCGAGGCGCCGGUGGGGGUUGUGUUGGAUGGCGGUGGCCUGAUGGCUCUUUCUUGUGGGCAUGACGGCGGCGUAGGUGCCGUCGACGGUGGAGUUCGGAGGUAUGCCACGCACGACCCGCGGCAGAAUCACCAGCGGCGGCAGCAUCGGCAGUUGCAACAUCAGCCGCAGAUCGGGACGGUUGCGCACCUUAUUGCUGGAGGGGUCGCCGCGGCCGUCAGCAAGACGUGCACAGCCCCUCUUGCUCCUCUCACUAUCCUCUUCCAGGUGCAAGGAAUGCACCUCUGAUGUUACAAUCUAAGGAAAUCUAGCAUAUGACGUUAGGCUUCUCGUAUUGUUUAUGAAGAAGGUUUUAGUGCAUUUUGGAAAGGAAAUUUGGUGACAAUUGCUCCUCGCUUACCUUAUUCUUCCAUAAGUUUCUAUGCUUAUGAACGGUACAAGAAUGUAUUGCAAUUGAUUCCUGGACUAGAUAAGCAUAGAGAAUGUGUGGGUGCAGAUGUCUGCCUGUGAUUGUUUGGUGGAGGGUGGCUGGAAUAACAGCUGCAUACGUCACAUAUCCAUUGGAUCUUGUCGGACACGUCCUUCAGCUCAGGAUUUCAAGUAUAUAACAAAUUUGUCUCUAGAAAACGUCCAGACAAAUGCUAUGUACUACAGGGGCAUUUCACAUGCUCUGUAUGCCAUCUGCAGGGGUGAGGGCAUGAGAGGAUUAUACAAGGGACUUGGACCAACGUUGUUGGUGUCGGACCUAUUCUAGCAAUCAGCUUUUCUGUUUAUGAAACUUUGAGAUCUCAUUGGCAAAUUUAGAGGCCAUGUGAUUCUCCUGUCUUGGUUAGUUUGUCUCGUGGAAGUCUUACUGGUAUAGCAUCGUCAACAGUGACAUUCACCAUUGCAUCUCAUGAGACAAAGAAUGCAUUCGGAAGGGGCAACUGGAAGGGUUUGUGUAUAUAAUUCUGGCCUCUUGGGAACAUUCAAGCACAUAAUUAGGACCGAAGGAUAUGGAGGCUCGUAUCGUGGUAUUCUCCCUGAGUACUUCAGAGUUGUUCCCAGCGCGGGCAUUGUUUUCAUGACCAACGAGACACAUCAGUUUUUCAAGGCAUAUCAACAGAAAAUUAAUGCUCUGAGCUCAAUUAGUAUUGAACUUACACAUUCGCCCUCGACACAUUGGUGAGUUUCUAUGAGAUGGAAUAGUUUGCAGUUCUCAGGAGUUGCAUGGUGGUGAGUUCUGCUGUUUCUUUCAAGAAAUUUUGUUUUCUUUGUAUAGAUUAAAGACCUCAAGUGCAUGUAGUAAGAAGAAAUGCAACUGACUGCAAUGUUUUCUAUCA